rnacentral:rRNA from 1 species
AACGAACGCUGGCGGCAUGCCUAACACAUGCAAGUCGAACGAGACCUUCGGGUCUAGUGGCGCACGGGUGCGUAACGCGUGGGAAUCUGCCCUUGGGUUCGGAAUAACAGCGAGAAAUUGCUGCUAAUACCGGAUGAUGACGUAAGUCCAAAGAUUUAUCGCCCAAGGAUGAGCCCGCGUAGGAUUAGCUAGUUGGUGAGGUAAAGGCUCACCAAGGCGACGAUCCUUAGCUGGUCUGAGAGGAUGAUCAGCCACACUGGGACUGAGACACGGCCCAGACUCCUACGGGAGGCAGCAGUGGGGAAUAUUGGACAAUGGGCGAAAGCCUGAUCCAGCAAUGCCGCGUGAGUGAUGAAGGCCUUAGGGUUGUAAAGCUCUUUUACCCGGGAUGAUAAUGACAGUACCGGGAGAAUAAGCUCCGGGCUAAACUCCGUGCCAGCAGCCGCGGUAAU